UACGUAAGUGGCGAGCGUUAUCCGGAAUUACUGGGCGUAAAGCGUGCGCAGGCGGUUUUGUAAGUCUGAUGUGAAAUCCCCGGGCUCAACCUGGGAAUUGCAUUGGAGACUGCAAGGCUAGAAUCUGGCAGAGGGGGGUAGAAUUCCACGUGUAGCAGUGAAAUGCGUAGAGAUGUGGAGGAACACCGAUGGCGAAGGCAGCCCCCUGGGUCAAGAUUGACGCUCAUGCACGAAAGCGUGGGGAGCAAACAGG
rnacentral:rRNA from 1 species